rnacentral:rRNA from 1 species
CAGUCGCCGCGGUAAUACGAAGGGUGCAAGCGUUAAUCGGAAUUACUGGGCGUAAAGCGUGCGUAGGCGGUUUUGUAAGUCUGUCGUGAAAUCCCCGGGCUCAACCUGGGACCUGCAUUUGUGACUGUAUAGCUAGAGUACGGUAGAGGGGGAUGGAAUUCCGCGUGUAGCAGUGAAAUGCGUAGAUAUGCGGAGGAACACCGAUGGCGAAGGCAAUCCCCUGGACCUGUACUGACGCUCAUGCACGAAAGCGUGGGGAGCAAACAGGAUUAGAUACCCCAGUAGUCCCUGUCUCUUAUAC